AACUUUUUAAAAUUCCCUGUGACCUUUGAAAUUCCUCAUACACGUAUGGGGACCUCCAUAUGCAUAUGAGCAGAGACCUUGCAAAAUGGGACUUUUUGGCAUCCCCAUACGCGUAUGGGAUAGGUCAUACGCGUAUGGGUAGAAGGCAAAUUUUUUCUUUUUAUGUUUGUCGUGCCUUUGAGAAUUUUCCCAUUUUCGUUCGGUUCUGCGACACAAGAUUCUUAAAACAUGAUAAGUA
rnacentral:lncRNA from 1 species